rnacentral:rRNA from 1 species
UAAAAAAAUUAUUAUUAGGUUUUUCAGUUAUUUUUUAAUAAAAAAAAUAAUUUUAAUUUUAUUAAUAAGUAUGAAUAAAUUAAUUUAAUAAUAGAGUAUUAGUAUUGAAAAAGGAUUGAUUUAUUUUAUAAUAAGAAUAGUUAAGUUUUAGUACCUUGUGUAUCAGGGUUUAUUAAAAAAUAUUUUUUAAUGAAAAAUUUCUCGAACUUAAAAGAUCUAUAUUUGUAUAGUUUUAAUUGUUGAAUAAAUUUUACACAUAUUAAUAUAGAAAUGAAACGUUAUUCGAUUUUAAAUAUAUCUAGUUUUUAAAGAAACAAAUUUAAUUUUAUUUUUAUGUAAGUAUUGAUUUAAAUCUAUAGAUUAAUACUAAUAAAAAUUAAUAUUUUAGGGGAUGAGCUUUAAAAUAAAUCUAUAAAAAUUUAUAUUUAAAUAUUUAGUAAGUAGGAUUAUAAGUUUUUACCUUUAUUAGUGUUUUAUUACUAUCUAAAUUAAUAGUAUUAUUUAUAUGCAUAUAUUUUUUAUAUACUUUAUUUAAAUUUAAAUUUUAAUAUGAAAAAUUUAGUAAUAAUGAUAAAAUUAGUAUAAUAAAUUUGUUUAUAAAAUUUAUAUAAUAAAGGUUUUAUAAAGGAAUUCGGCAAGUACAUUUUUCACCUGUUUAUCAAAAACAUGGCCUUUUGAUAUUUAUUUAAGGUCUAACCUGCUCAAUGAGUUUUAAAUAGCCGCAGUAUCUUAACUGUGCAAAGGUAGCAUAAUCAUUAGUUUUUUAAUUGAAAGCUGGAAUGAAAGGUUGAAUGAGAAAAUAGCUGUCUCUAUAAAAAUUUUAUAGAAUUUUAUUUUUAAGUAAAAAAGCUUAAAUUUCAGUAAAAGACGAGAAGACCCUAUAGAGUUUUAUAUUUAUUAAAGAUAAUUAUUUUUAGUAUUUUCAAAUUUAUUUUUUAUAGUAUUUAAUUGGGGUGAUUAGAAAAUUUAAUUAACUUUUCUUUUAUAAGUACAUUUAUUUAUGAAAAUAUGAUCCUUUAUUUAGAUUAUAAGAUUAAAUUACCUUAGGGAUAACAGCGUAAUUUUUUUUUAGAGUUCUUAUCGAAAAAAAAGAUUGCGACCUCGAUGUUGGAUUAAAAUGAAUUUUUGGUGUAGAAGCUAAAUUAAUUAGGUCUGUUCGACCUUUAAAAUUUUACAUGAUCUGAGUUCAAACCGGUGUAAGCC